rfam:Helianthus annuus linkage group 17, whole genome shotgun sequence.
UCCUCAGUGGCUUUAAUGGUAGAGCGGUCGGCUGUUAACUGACUGGUCGUAGGUUCAAAUCCUACUUGGGGAG